UCGUGGCUCAGAUUGAACGCUGGCGGCAGGCCUAACACAUGCAAGUCGAGCGGAUGAAGGGAGCUUGCUCCCUGAUUUAGCGGCGGACGGGUGAGUAAUGCCUAGGAAUCUGCCUGGUAGUGGGGGAUAACGUUCCGAAAGGAACGCUAAUACCGCAUACGUCCUACGGGAGAAAGCAGGGGACCUUCGGGCCUUGCGCUAUCAGAUGAGCCUAGGUCGGAUUAGCUAGUUGGUGAGGUAAUGGCUCACCAAGGCGACGAUCCGUAACUGGUCUGAGAGGAUGAUCAGUCACACUGGAACUGAGACACGGUCCAGACUCCUACGGGAGGCAGCAGUGGGGAAUAUUGGACAAUGGGCGAAAGCCUGAUCCAGCCAUGCCGCGUGUGUGAAGAAGGUCUUCGGAUUGUAAAGCACUUUAAGUUGGGAGGAAGGGCAUUAACCUAAUACGUUAGUGUUUUGACGUUACCGACAGAAUAAGCACCGGCUAACUUCGUGCCAGCAGCCGCGGUAAUACGAAGGGUGCAAGCGUUAAUCGGAAUUACUGGGCGUAAAGCGCGCGUAGGUGGUUCGUUAAGUUGGAUGUGAAAGCCCCGGGCUCAACCUGGGAACUGCAUCCAAAACUGGCGAGCUAGAGUACGGUAGAGGGUGGUGGAAUUUCCUGUGUAGCGGUGAAAUGCGUAGAUAUAGGAAGGAACACCAGUGGCGAAGGCGACCACCUGGACUGAUACUGACACUGAGGUGCGAAAGCGUGGGGAGCAAACAGGAUUAGAUACCCUGGUAGUCCACGCCGUAAACGAUGUCAACUAGCCGUUGGGUUCCUUGAGAACUUAGUGGCGCAGCUAACGCAUUAAGUUGACCGCCUGGGGAGUACGGC
rnacentral:rRNA from 1 species